rnacentral:miRNA from 12 species
GAUCUAAAGCCUAUUGAAGCCAGUGGAAAACCACCCACUGACUUCAAUGGGCUUUGGAUCAGUCCCACAAUGGC